ACUCCUACGGGAGGCAGCAGUGGGGAAUCUUGGACAAUGGGCGCAAGCCUGAUCCAGCCAUGCCGCGUGAGUGAUGAAGGCCCUAGGGUCGUAAAAGCUCUUUCGCCAGGGAUGAUAAUGACAGUACCUGGUAAAGAAACCCCGGCUAACUCCGUGCCAGCAGCCGCGGUAAUACGGAGGGGGUUAGCGUUGUUCGGAAUUACUGGGGCGUAAAGCGUACGUAGGCGGAUUAGUUAGUCAGAGGUGAAAUCCCAGGGGCUCAACCCUGGAACUGCCUUUGAUACUGCUAGUCUUGAGUUCGAGAGAGGUGAGUGGAAUUCCGAGUGUAGAGGUGAAAUUCGUAGAUAUUCGGAGGAACACCAGUGGCGAAGGCGGCUCACUGGCUCGAUACUGACGCUGAGGUACGAAAGUGUGGGGG
rnacentral:rRNA from 1 species